rnacentral:rRNA from 1 species
UACGGGGGGUGCGAGCGUUGUCCGGAAUCACUGGGCGUAAAGGGCGCGUAGGUGGUUUGAUAAGGGUGUGGUGAAAGUCCGGGGCUCAACCCCGGAUCUGCCGUGCCGACUGUCAAACUCGAGGACUGUAGAGGCAGACGGAAUUCCGGGUGUAGCGGUGGAAUGCGUAGAGAUCAGGAGGAAUACCGAUGGCGAAGGCAGGUCUCUGGGCUGACACUGACGCUGAGAAGCGAAAGCAUGGGGAGCGAACAGG